UCCAACCUCAGUGCAAUAGGGGCAGCCUCAGAGGACUCUCCUUCUUUCGAAGGUGAAUGGACCUCUGUCGGGAGGGUUUGGAUGGCACCUUGGUGGAAUGGGGUUGGACUAGAUGGCCUUCCAUUGAUCUUUCUCUCUCUGCUCAAAGCUGCAGCUGAACUACUUGGGCAACUACAUCCCUCAGAGCUGGACUUUCGAGACGGGAUGCACUCUUUGCGGAGAAGGCCUGAAGGACCUCACAGACCUGGACGAGGGAGUCUUCCCCGUGGUCCUCCUGGGGGUCUUCAUUGAGCAGCCCACCCCCUUCCUCUCCCAGUUCUUCCAACGGCUGCAGAAGCUGCGAUACCCAAAGGGACGCAUCCAGCUCUUCAUCCAUAACAGUGUGAGUCAUUAUAUGAUUAUUAAUAAUAAUUAUUAUACUAAUAAUAAUUAGUAAUAAUGAUACUAUUAAGUGCGAUCCUAUUAUUAUUUAUAAUGUUAUUAUAUUAUAACAUUAUAAGUAAUAAUAGGAUCGCACUUAAUAGCAUACCUAUAAUAUAUAAUAAUUAUGGGAUUAAUAAAUAUCGUAAUACUACCGUGUUUCCCCUAAAAUAAGACAGUGUCUUAUAUUAAUUUUUGCUCCCAAAGAUGCUCUAGGUCUUAUUUUCAGGGGAUGUCUUAUUUUUCCAUGAAGAAGAAUUCACAUUUAUUGUUGAACCAAAAAAAAUGAACAUUUAUUAUAUACUGUACAGUAAUAGUCAUCAUAAACCAGCAUAACCAAACAUGUGAAUCCUAUCAAUAAUUUCUUGUUACUACAAAUAUUUCCAUGUACAACACUUUAUGGUACGUACAUUUACUGAUCCUGCAUGCUCUGGUGUUCUGUUCGGCGGGCAUGCUUCCAAACAAAAACUUUGCUAGGUCUUACUUUCAGGGGAGGCCUUAUAUUUAGCAAUUCAGCAAAACCUCUACUAGGUCUUAUUUUCUGGGGAUGUCUUGUUUUAGGGGAAACAGGGUAAUAACAUAAUAAAUAUAUAAUAUAAUAAUAAAUGGGAUAGGAUUUAAUAGCAUACGAAUAAUAUAUAAUAUAAUUUAUAGUACUUAAAAGCAUGCUAAUCAUAUAUAAUGUAUAAUAAAUAACAGGAUAGCAUUUAAUGGUAUGCUAAUAACAGGAAACUGUAUAUAAUAUAAUAAUAAAUAUAUAUAUAAGAAACAAUAUGAUAGCAUUUAACAGGAUACUAAUAAUAUACAAUCUAAUAAAUAAUAGCAUGCUAAUAUUAUAUUAUAUUUAUUUAUUUAUUUAUUUUUCAAACUUAUAUGCCGCCACUCCCCUAGGGCUCGGAGCGGCUUACAAGAACCGGCUAAAAUCAACAAUUUAAAAACAUCUUUAAAAAACAUCUUAAAAAAUAUCUUAAAAAACAUCCUAAAAGCACCUUUUAAAACAUCAACAACAGAACUCAAAAGCCUGUCGAAACAGGUGUGUCUUACAUGCCCUGCGGAAGGCCGACAAGUCCCGCAAGGCACGGACUUCAGGUGGGAAGGAGUUCCAGAGAGAUGGAGCCACUGCUGAAAAGGCUCUGCGUCUGGUUGUUGUUAGACGCAAGGUCUUAAAACUGGAGACUUCCAGCAGGUCUUGGUCCUCAGAACGGCGGGAUCUCUGGGGUUUGUAGGGGGUGAGGCGGUCCCUCAGGUACAUCGGCCCUGGACCAUGUAAGGCCUUGAAGGUAAGCACCAUCACUUUGAAAGUGAUCCGGUGCUCAAUUGGUAACCAGUGCAGCUGCCGUAAGAUUGGUGUUAUGUGGCAUCUUAUUGGGACUCCCGCAAGGAGCCGGGCAGCUGCAUUUUUCACCAAUUUGAGCUUCCGGAUCACCGACACAGGAAGGCCAAUGUAAAGGGGCCGGGCUGUGGCGCAGCUGGCUAGUAACCAGCUGCUAUAAAUCACUACUGACCGAGAGGUCAUGAGUUCGAAGCCCGGGUUGGGUUAAGCCUCCGACCAUAAAAAAAUAAAAUAAAAUAAAAAUAGCCCCGGCUUGCUGUUGACCUAGCAGCCCUGAAAGACAGUUGCAUCUGUCAAGUAGGGAAAAUUUAGGGACGCUUUAUGCGGGAGGCUAAUUUAACUAAUCUACAACACCAUAAAACUGCUCACGAGGAAAAGAAUGAGGAAGAACAGCCACCAAUGGACGGUGAAGCAACAGCUCCCCCUGUGGCCGGAAAUCGUGAAGCUGGAAAGAUGUUAAAAAAUGCCUCUGUGUCUGUCUAAAAACUGAAUGUUGUUUGUCUGUUGGCAUUGAAUGUUUGCCAUAUAUGUGUUCAUUGUAAUCCGCCCUGAGUCCCCUUCGGGGUGAGAAAGAAGGGCGGGAUAUAAAUACUGUAAAUAAAUAAAUAAAGAGCAUUACAGUAAUCCAGUCUCGAGAUGACUGUAGCCUGGAUCACCGUAGCCAGGUUGUCCCUAGACAGAUAGGGGCCCAGCCGUCUAGCCUGCCGAAGAUGAAAAAAGGCGGUUUUGGUAACGGCGGAGACCUGGGCCUCCAUCGUCAAUGAAGGGUCCAAGAGGACUCCCAGACUCUUUACCAGUAAAGACGGGCGUAGCACUUCGCCAUCCAGGGUUGGCAACUGGAUCUCCCCACUGCCCGGUCGGCCCAGCCAUAGGAUCUCCCUCUUUGCUGGAUUCACCCUCAACCUACUGGAACGCAACCAUCCAAUAAUGGCCUCGAGGCACCGGUGAAAACUGUCGGGUACAGACUCCGGUUGGCCUUCCAUCUUUAACACAAGCUGAGUGUCGUCAGCAUAUUGAUAACACUCGAGCCCGAAAUCUCGGACCAGCUGAGCAAGUGGUCGCAUAUAGAUGUUAAACAACAGAGGGGAGAGAAUGGCCCCCUGAGGAACCCCACAAUGUAGAGGGGACCUCUCAGAGACCAGGCCCCCCCCCUCUCCACUCGCUGGCCACGGUUGUGAAGAAAGGAGGCCAGCCAAUUUAAAGCUGUCCCCCUGACUCCAGCAACGGCAAGGCGGUGGGUCAGAAGAUUGUGAUCGACUGUGUCAAAUGCUGCUGUGAGAUCCAAUAACACAAGCAGUGUGCCGUCGCGCCUGGGGCUGUAAACUCUUAGUGAAAGAGGCAUGGACGUGACAUCUUUCCCCAGGGGAUUGCUUCUUGCCCUCCUUUAGGGAAACUGGAACUCCCAAGGACCAAAACACUGUAGAUAACUCAAAAACUGGGUUUAUUGUUCACAAAGGGGGUAAAAGAAAAUAUACAUUACAGUCUUUGAUUGUUUAAGUCCAUGAAGCUUGUCCAGAUCCCUCUUUCUCUGGCUGUGAAUGCCGGAGCAAACUCAGCCUCAGUCCAAUGACCUAUAUCUGAAGACAAGAGUCUUCCUCUGUUGCCAAAGGACUGAUGUGAAGGCGCUUGAGACUCCUCAACGUUGUUCAGGUUGGCCCUGAACAUGAAGUGUGAGUCCCAAGGGUAAGAACCUCAGAAUUGGUGCUGAGAGGUAACUUUUGAAGGGCUUUCAGAGCCAAGCCUCUCUUUCACGUCCAUCCGAUAGAGAACUUGCUGAUGGAAUGAAAAGGAGGGAACACAGUCCUACUCCAGGAAGAGGUGGAGCCAAACAGUUUUGCUGAGUGAGCAAUAUAACAGGUACAAACAACAUUGAUUGACAGAUAUAAAUAACCAAUCCAACUACAUUUACAGGGUAAGGGCAAAAUCAGGCAUGAUACAACAAUUCAAAUCUUGAAACUUAUAGUUCCAACAUAUAGAUGGCGCCACUCGCGCCGUCACAAGCAGCACCGACCCGCCCUGGUCAAGCUGGCAUCGAAGGUGAUCCGUGAUGGAAACCAAUACAGUCUCUGUCCCAUGCCCCGCACGGAAGCCAGACUGGAAAGGAUCCAGUCCGGCUGUGUCGUCUAGGAACUGCUGCAGCUGCACCGCUACUGCCCU
ensembl:lncRNA